GCCAGGCGUGGUGGCACACGCCUGUAAUCCCAGUUACUUGGGAGGCUGAGGCAGGAGAAUCACUUGAACUCGGGAGGUGGAGGCUGCAGUGAGCCAAGAUUGCACCACUGCACUCCAGCCUGGGUGACAGAGUGAGACUCAGUCUCUG
rnacentral:SRP_RNA from 1 species